rnacentral:rRNA from 1 species
UUAAUGUUCUGGAAAUGGAAUGGAGGGAAAUUUAAACCUCUUCCAGAGUAUCAAUUGGAGGGCAAGUCUGGUGCCAGCAGCCGCGGUAAUUCCAGCUCCAAUAGCGUAUAUUAAAAUUGUUGCAGUUAAAAAGCUCGUAGUUGAAUUUCUGCUGCAUUYCAUUUYUCUUUCUGAGUUUGUUUUUGCGGCUUAUUUCGGUUUGAUUUUUUCUUUCCGGAUGAUUACUUUGAGAAAAUUAGAGUGCUCAAAGCAGGCUUUUGCCUUGAAUAGUUUAGCAUGGAAUAAUAAAGUAGGACUUUGGUUCUAUUUUGUUGGUUUUAGGUACCAAAGUAAUGGUUAAUAGGAACAGUUGGGGGCAUUCGUAUUUA